rnacentral:rRNA from 1 species
GACGAACGCUGGCGGCGUGCUUAACACAUGCAAGUCGAACGGAAAGGCCCUGCUUUUGUGGGGUGCUCGAGUGGCGAACGGGUGAGUAACACGUGAGUAACCUGCCCUUGACUUUGGGAUAACUGCAGGAAACUGGGGCUAAUACCGGAUAGGAGCUCCGGCUGCAUGGUGGGGGUUGGAAAGUUUCGGCGGUUGGGGAUGGACUCGCGGCUUAUCAGCUUGUUGGUGGGGUAGUGGCUUACCAAGGCCUUGACGGGUAGCCGGCCUGAGAGGGUGACCGGCCACAUUGGGACUGAGAUACGGCCCAGACUCCUACGGGAGGCAGCAGUGGGGAAUAUUGCACAAUGGGCGGAAGCCUGAUGCAGCAACGCCGCGUGCGGGAUGACGGCCUUCGGGUUGUAAACCGCUUUCGCCUGUGACGAAGCGUGAGUGACGGUAAUGGGUAAAGAAGCACCGGCUAACUACGUG